GGGUUUUUUUCCCGCUGCUGACGCAGCUCGGCAGGCACCCAGAGGGGACGGUCCUCGGGUCGGUACCUCAGGCCCACACGGAUGGCACUCGGGCAACAGGUGCGCCCUUCCCACAGAGCGCGGCUGUGACACUCGCAGGGUUACGGCCGGCGCGCGAGUACCGGUAACGGCUAUAAUUCACGUAGGGAAGGAACCCAGCGACGGCCGUCAUCCCCGCCGAGCGUCAGCCUGGGCGUUCAGGUGUAAGGCUGGCUUGGAGCGUUUGACCGGCGAGGCCUGUCUGCGGCCUAAGGCUGUACCCCCCGGGACAACUGAGCGCUAAAAGCAAGGCUGUGGCGAAACCUGUUGCUUCAGGCAGAGUACUGCUGGCCAGGACUCUUCUCACUGAGUCUCUGCUCCCUGCCAGCAGCUGUCACUCUCAGAUCAUACCAGACAUCCCCAAAUUCUAUAGGAUUCCAGGAAAAGCCUGGAAUUAUUUUGGACAAAUACAGAUAGUUAGCCUUGCUACACUGUACUGUUCUCCUCAUUGUCUUUCGUCCUGUCAUUCAUCUGCAUAUUCCUGUUCAAAGACUCAUUCAUACAAGGGCACUGGGAAAGGAGCAGGAUCUUUUAUAAGGAACAGAUAUUGUGAGCCACUAUAUUUUGGGAGAUUUUUAGACCAUACUAUAACCACAUGUGUCAAAGAAGAGCCUGUUCAUUUGAUAUUAAUAUAACAAGUUUAAUAAAGCAAUAGUUGCA